ACGCUGAAGCUUGGUGCUUGCACUGGGUGGAUGAGUGGCGAAUGGGUGAGUAAUACGUGAGUAACCUGCCCUUGACUCUGGGAUAAGCCUGGGAAACUGGGUCUAAUACUGGAUAUGACCUCCUGUCGCAUGGUGGGGGGUGGAAAGGGUUUGUACUGGUUGUGGAUGGGCUCACGGCCUAUCAGCUUGUUGGUGGGGUAAUGGCCUACCAAGGCGACGACGGGUAGCCGGCCUGAGAGGGUGACCGGCCACACUGGGACUGAGACACGGCCCAGACUCCUACGGGAGGCAGCAGUGGGGAAUAUUGCACAAUGGGCGCAAGCCUGAUGCAGCGACGCCGCGUGAGGGAUGACGGCCUUCGGGUUGUAAACCUCUUUCAGCACGGAAGAAGCGAAAGUGACGGUACGUGCAGAAGAAGCGCCGGCUAACUACGUGCCAGCAGCCGCGGUAAUACGUAGGGCGCAAGCGUUGUCCGGAAUUAUUGGGCGUAAAGAGCUCGUAGGCGGUUUGUCGCGUCUGCUGUGAAAGCCCGGGGCUUAACCCCGGGUGUGCAGUGGGUACGGGCAGACUUGAGUGCAGUAGGGGAGACUGGAACUCCUGGUGUAGCGGUGAAAUGCGCAGAUAU
rnacentral:rRNA from 1 species